GCCUGAGUGGCUCAGUCGGUUGAGCAUCCAACUUUGGCUGAGGUCAUGAUCUCACGGUUCGUGGGUUUGAGCCCCGCAUCAGGCU
rnacentral:tRNA from 1 species